UGCUCAGGAUGAACGCUAGCGGGAGGCCUAACACAUGCAAGCCGAGCGGUAGAGAUCCUCGGGAUCUUGAGAGCGGCGUACGGGUGCGGAACACGUGUGCAACCUGCCUUUAUCUGGGGGAUAGCCUUUCGAAAGGAAGAUUAAUACCCCAUAAUAUAUCGAGUGGCAUCAUUUGAUAUUGAAAACUCCGGUGGAUAGAGAUGGGCACGCGCAAGAUUAGAUAGUUGGUGAGGUAACGGCUCACCAAGUCUGCGAUCUUUAGGGGGCCUGAGAGGGUGAUCCCCCACACUGGUACUGAGACACGGACCAGACUCCUACGGGAGGCAGCAGUGAGGAAUAUUGGACAAUGGGUGAGAGCCUGAUCCAGCCAUCCCGCGUGAAGGACGACGGCCCUAUGGGUUGUAAACUUCUUUUGUAUAGGGAUAAACCUACUCUCGUGAGAGUAG
rnacentral:rRNA from 1 species